GACAGAGGAUGCAAGCGUUAUCCGGCAUGAUUGGGCGUAAAGCGUCUGUAGGUGGCUUUUUAAGUCUGCCGUCAAAUCCCAGGGCUUAACCCUGGACAGGCGGUGGAAACUACCAAGCUGGAGUACGGUAGGGGCAGAGGGAAUUUCCGGUGGAGCGGUGAAAUGCGUAGAUAUCGAGAGGAACACCUGCGGCGAAGGCGGGUUGCUGGGCUGACACUGACGCUGAGGCGCGAAAGCCAGGGGAGCGAACGGG
rnacentral:rRNA from 1 species